CAUUGAAAAAUAUUUUAGUAAAAAAUAAUAAUGUGUAAAUCAACUGUGAUUCCUAUCUACAUUUGACUUGCAAGUGAUAUUGCAAUAAAUUGCGAAAUUGGGCACUAGAGAUUAAAUCGCAGAUACCAUAGACUAAGAAUCGGUGAGACAAUAGUUCGCAUCGCAUAUCAUUCAUGUGAGUUACAAAACGACGCUACCGUGCGUGCUUUAUCAAACGCGCCCUCCGUAUUGAUCGCCUAUUUUCGCUCCGUGUGGCAGCGGCCAUCUUGAAAAAGCGGCCGCCAUACUGCCGCAAUAGCGUGCGGUAUAAAACCGGGGCGUGACGUCAGCGCGCCCUCAAAAGAUCUCUCAUCGUGGUGCAGUGAAGACGUGUGACCGUGUGACAAAAUUAGUGCGUAGUUCUUCAAGUGACUCAUUGGCCUGGUUGGAUUCAGUCCCAUUGCGUUUCGCGUGGGUCUGGGUUCGACCGACGGCCGCCAUCUUGGUUGCCUUGUGGGCGCGGUCACACGCUGCUAGCUUCGAGUUGGGUUUGUAACGGUAUCAUACUUUUAGUUUUAUUAUUAUUUUGUAACUUGUAAAUAAGUCAUGUUUCAAUUUCAGUCUAUUGCAAAGUAGUUUAAUUGGAAUUAAAUUAUUAUUCAUAUUGAAUAAGAAAAUUGUAUCAUAUGUUUAAGUAUGAAAAUAAACAUAAUUUUGAAAAAGUUGUUGUGUUUCUGAAACUUGUUUUGUCUGACUAUGAUUUCACCCUCAAUAAUGUCAUUCCAUGAGUCACCGCCGCCGCUCCGUGCCAAAGCAUGGCUGCCGAGCAAGUUAGCAGCAGAGUAGCGGAGUUCCUGAGUGAAGACGAACGAGGUCGCAGCUCGCGCAGUUCCUGAGCGGAGUCGAUCGGCCGCGGCGCAAGUCACUCGAGUCCCGGUUUUCAGGCCCUCACCUACUAGGUAACGGUUAGGUUGCGUCAUGACUGUACACUGUUCUCUAUACAUUACUGGCCCGCACCCUGGCGGGCCCCUGCCUGUAAUCAUGUGUUUAGAUCCCAGAUUCCGCCGCUCUGACCUCGGCCAGGGCGGGCCUCGACCAGCCGCACGAAGGUUGACGUGACCUGUCGAGUGCGCUGCCACUUCACGGUCACCUCUGAAUCAAUCAUGACUCAGCGUUUAGGAGGAAGUAAAUGCAUUUCUCGAACAGUCGGUGAGUCACAUUCUCUGCUGAGUGUUUGACGUUGUAAUCAUUGCCUUUAAUCUGAGAUAUUGACCUCAUUUCAAAAAUUAUUUUUGAUAAUUUUGCUAUUGUAAACAAGUCGAGGGACAUUUCUGCGUAAUAACAUUGAAAACAGGUUCCCAUAAUUAGCAAAUUAGCACAAGACAACGGCAGUUACUGAUGUGACGAAACGGUCGGCGUGGGGCCGCCGCGCGCAGCUUUCACUAGAAACAUCCACAACGAGGUCAUGACGCAGGAAACUGCUACACCUGCCACUACUGAGGCCAUUGCAAACUACCUUCGACAAGAGGGAAGCAGACUCUGGAUCUAAACUAGCUACCUAUGCACAGUCAUUAAACACAUGUGAGGGCUCAUAAAUCAUCGCAAGCAUUCAAAUCCAUCCCAACUGAACCUGCGUGAAACUUAGGAAACUAUCUAUAAAUACAACCAAACGGAAUAAAAUGAGGAAAUAUAGGAAAAUGAAGCGUGGACACUAUAGAAUACUGCUUGACGCAAACCUGGUGACUCGAGUGAACUAGCUGAUUCUAUGGGAUUACAAGUUACGCCGUCUCGAACGGAACCAGUCAAUAUCCUGAACUACCCUGCGAUAGACCUACAGAUAAGUCUGUCUCCUAAACAUGACAAGUAGAAACAAUUCCUAAACCAACGUACGCUAACUAUAACUAGGAAAUGACCUAUCACAGUCUAAAUAUGGCAACUGUAAGCAAAACCACUUGGGAGUUGAAUCUGCUCGGAUGUAAUUUAAUCUAGUAUGCAGUCUGUCGAUGAAGGGACGCUUCCUGCACAUGGCAAUUCUGCAACAUGAAGGCUGAAACUAUAAAUAGAUUGUACACUAAAUAAAACUUGAUGCACCUAAAGCCUCGGCAAAUACGCUACAAAGUUUCAACUUUACUUAAGUAAUUCAAUGGAGCUCAAAAAUAUAAUAUUGAUAGAUAAAAAAUAUAUAAGUACUUAAUUAAAUAUCAAAGAAAAUACCUACAAGCACACAAAUAUUUUCUAACUAAGUAUAAGAAAUCAAACAAGUAAUAUAUGAUGUAUUUUUUAUGAUGUACCUACCCAACAACACGGUACAAGAUUCGUCUUAAAUUCUAAAAGGGUAAGCAACGAGAAUUGUGAUGACUUUGAUAAGCAUAUCUAUAAACUUUUCACAUCAGUAAUGUAUAUGCUUGUUAUUUUAGAUAACCAACUAAGCUGAAAAUUCUUCUAUCUGAAGAAAAGAAACCUGAGCUACUGUGUGGCAUCACCUACAAAACUAACUAAAUUACCUUUCAGAACCUCUGAAAAGAACUCAGAAAAACCAAAACUAAAUAAUCAUUAUAAAAGACUUGGGAUACUAAAAUGCACCUAUAACUACUGACAUAAAUAUGGAACCUAUACGACAAAACUAAAUGAUAUUGAAAUGCCUGUCUUGAACUUAACCAUUAGGGAAUAUUUUUGUUUGGGACUGUUCAACAGGACUGCAAGAUUGAAACUACCUGCAAAGUGCUUUCGUGUCUUCUCAUGUUUGAAUAAUCAAGUUUGCCGUACCUACCUACUUCAUACGGUAUCUGACUGAAGGUGAAGAAAGCCUUUCUAAGGUAUUUUAGUGAAUAACUUAAACAGUUAUUUUUAGAUCUGUCUCUUUAUAAUUUUUUGACUAAUGGUGACCAUAGCAGGUUCGAUUCCUGCAAUAUAAGGUCGAAUUGUUUGUUUUAAGUUUCCUUAUUAGGAAACAUAUUGUUUAGAUUUGUUUCUCAGGAUGUUCUGUUGCUUCAUGCCUGCAUCUACUCGUAAGCAAUGGCAGCCUUCAGGGUUGCAUUCCAGCAGCUAGACCAUGCUAGUUUUGGCCUUGUCUUCCUAAUGGCGAUAUGGAAACGUUGAUUUGUGGUACCUAUCUUUUGCGUGAAUUUUGUGGAGGUGGAAACUGACAGUCAUUGAGGUUUUUAUUUUUAUUAUGUUAUAACAUGAAAGUUUUUCAUAUUUCUAAGCAUGCCUAGAAAAUGGUCUCAUAAUUAUAUUAUUUAGCUUUCGUACUUAGCAGUAGCUUGCUUUUAGUAGGUACUUUUACUUAAUAUGCGAAGUACCUACAAAACUCUGAAUCUGAGUGUAAAUCUAACGGUGGUCUAUUUUUUGUUUUUCGUGUCUCUUUUUUAUUCAGAUGCAAGUUGUCAAUGAUUAAUUUAGAUAGCGUGACUGCCUGCCUGCUAUAUGUACAAGGAGAAGUUACCAUGCGACCUAUAUGGACACUUCAGCAUUUCUGAAAAGCAAAGGGCUGUGACGCCGGUAUUAUUUAAGUGUUUUAUGAAUAAACAGAAAACCAAAGUAAUGAAAUGACAUGAGGUAAACAAUUCAAAU